rnacentral:rRNA from 1 species
CAGUCGCCGCGGUAAUACGAAGGGUGCAAGCGUUAAUCUGAAUUACUGGGCGUAAAGCGUGCGUAGGCGGUGAGUUAAGUCUGCUGUGAAAUCCCCGGGCUCAACCUGGGAAUGGCAGUGGAUACUGGCUCGCUAGAGUGUGUCAGAGGAUGGUGGAAUUCCCGGUGUAGCGGUGAAAUGCGUAGAGAUCGGGAGGAACAUCAGUGGCGAAGGCGGCCAUCUGGGACAACACUGACGCUGAGGCACGAAAGCGUGGGGAGCAGACAGGAUUAGAUACCCGUGUAGUCCCUGUCUCUUAUAA